rnacentral:rRNA from 1 species
GUAGGUGGCAAGCGUUGUCCGGAAUUAUAGGGCGUAAAGCGCGCGCAGGCGGUCCUUUAAGUCUGUUGUGAAAGCCCACGGCUCAACCGUGGAGGGUCAUUGGAAACUGGGGGACUUGAGUACAGAAGAGGAAAGCGGAAUUCCAAGUGUAGCGGUGAAAUGCGUAGAGAUUUGGAGGAACACCAGUGGCGAAGGCGGCUUUCUGGUCUGUAACUGACGCUGAGGCGCGAAAGCGUGGGGAGCAAACAGGAUUAGAUACCCUGGUAGUCCACGCCGUAAACGAUGAGUGCUAAGUGUUAGGGGGUUUCCCGCCCCCCUUAGUGCUGCAGCUAACGCAUUAAGCACUCCGCCUGGGGGAGUACGGCCGCAAGGCUG